GUUUUCUGUUCUGGCCUGUUGGUCAUGGGUUCUGAUCGGUAGAUCAAUUUUUGCAUGUUGGUUCAAUGACCUGUUCCUGGUCUUGUCUGCAAAACUUCCUCUGAAGUUGUGUUGCUUUUUUCAGAUGUAUAAGUUUUUAAAAGAGCAAUUUCUGUUUUUGUUGCAGUAGUUCAACUUUGGUCUUUGAAAGACUCAGGGCAAGUUGAAGCCCUUGUUGGCCCAUAUAAAUUGUAUGACACAUCUUUUAGAACACUCUGUGGACAUGGCUGGCUGUCAGAUGAAGUUAUAGAUGCAUAUUUGUAUGUGACACUUCAGAAGACCAAGAUACCUGUAUACAGAAUGGAUGCAGUAAUUGCAUCUUCUGUAUUUCAUCUUGGGCAAUAUCGGGCUGUUCAAAAGAUGGUUUUACCUGAAGCCUCCAUUUGGAUGUGCCCUGUAAAUGUGGGAGGUCACUGGCUUUUGGUGAUUGUCGUGAUGAAUCACCAAGAGCUAGUAGUUAUAGACCCUAUGGGGAACGAAACAAUGUAUGACAGAAAGCUUCUCC